rnacentral:rRNA from 1 species
GACGAACGCUGGCGGCGUGCCUAACACAUGCAAGUCGAACGAGAUCCAUGGGAGCUUGCUCCCGGAAGAUCUAGUGGCGAACGGGUGAGUAACACGUGAGAAACCUGCCCUGGAGUGGGGAAUAACUCGGGGAAACUCGAGCUAAUACCGCAUACCCUCGGAUGGUCGCAUGGCCGACCGAGGAAAGAUUUAUCGCUCUAGGAGGGUCUCGCGGCCUAUCAGCUAGUUGGUGGGGUAACGGCCUACCAAGGCAACGACGGGUAGCUGGUUUGAGAGAACGAUCAGCCACACUGGGACUGAGACACGGCCCAGACUCCUACGGGAGGCAGCAGUGGGGAAUCUUGCGCAAUGGGCGAAAGCCUGACGCAGCAACGCCGCGUGCGGGAUGACGGCCUUCGUGGUUGUAAACCGCUUUCAGCAGGGACGGAAAAUAGACGGUACCUGCAGAAGAAGACCCCGGCUAACUACGUGCCAGCAG